GGGUCAAUGAUAAGGACUUCAUAUUGUCUUGAAGAGAAGUGAUGACUUAAAAAUCAUGUUCGGUGGGAUUAUGCUGAGGCCC
rnacentral:snoRNA from 1 species